GCCGGGCGUGGUGGCGCGCACCUGUAAUCCCAGCUACUUGGGAGGCUGAGGCAGGAGAAUCACUUGAACCCGGGAGGCGGAGGUUGCAGUGAGCCGAGAUUGUGUCAUUGCACUCCAGCCUGGGCGACAGAGUGAGACUCUGUCUCAA
rnacentral:SRP_RNA from 1 species